UGGGGAAUAUUGCACAAUGGGGGAAACCCUGAUGCAGCGACGCCGCGUGAGCGAAGAAGGCUUUCGAGUCGUAAAGCUCUGUCCUAUGAGAAGAUAAUGACGGUAUCAUAGGAGGAAGCCCUGGCUAAAUACGUGCCAGCAGCCGCGGUAAUACGUAUGGGGCGAGCGUUGUCCGGAAUUAUUGGGCGUAAAGGGUACGUAGGUGGUUUUUUAAGUCAGGUGUCAAAGCGUGGAGCUUAACUCCAUUAAGCACUUGAAACUGAAAGACUUGAGUGAAGGAGAGGAAAGUGGAAUUCCUAGUGUAGCGGUGAAAUGCGUAGAGAUUAGGAGGAACACCGGUGGCGAAAGCGGCUUUUUGGCCUGCAACUGACACUGAGGCGCGAAAGCGUGGGGAGCAAACAGG
rnacentral:rRNA from 1 species